rnacentral:rRNA from 1 species
CCCUUAGAUGCUCUGGGCCGCACGCGCGCUACACUGGUCGAUGCAACGAGUUUCUUUCCUUGGCCGACAGGCCUGGGCAAUCUUUGAACAUCGAUCGUGAUCGGGAUAGAUUCUUGUAAUUUUUGAUCUUAAACGAGGAAUUCCUAGUAAACGCAAGUCAUCAGCUUGCUUUGAUUACGUCCCUGCCCUUUGUACACACCGCCCGUCGCACCUACCGAUUGAAUGGUCCGGUGAAAUCUCCGGACUGGCGUGAGUCGGAGCAAUCUGACAAACACCGGAAAGUUGAUUAAACCUUACCAUUUAGAGGAAGGUGAAGUCGUAACA